rnacentral:rRNA from 1 species
UGCAGUCGAGCGAACUGAUUAGAAGCUUGCUUCUAUGACGUUAGCGGCGCCACUGGUGAGUAACACGUGGGCAACCUGCCUGUAAGACUGGGCAUCACAACAGGAAACCGAAGCUAAUACCGGAUAACAUCAUUCCUUGCAUAAGGAAUGAUUGAAAGAUGGUUUCGGCUAUCACUUCAUCCAUGGGCCCGCGGUGCAUUAGCUAGUUGGUGAGGUAACGGCUCACCAAGGCAACGAUGCAUAGCCGACCUGAGAGGGUGAUCGGCCACACUGGGACUGAGACACGGCCCAGACUCCUACGGGAGGCAGCAGUAGGGAAUCUUCCGCAAUGGACGAAAGUCUGACGGAGCAACGCCGCGUGAGUGAUGAAGGCUUUCGGGUCGUAAAACUCUGUUGUUAGGGAAGAACAAGUAUGAGAGUAACUGCUCGUACCUUGACGGUACCUAACCAGAAAGCCACGGCUAACUACGUGCCAGCAGCCGCGGUAAUACGUAGGUGGCAAGCGUUAUCCGGAAUUAUUGGGCGUAAAGCGCGCGCAGGCGGUUUCUUAAGUCUGAUGUGAAAGCCCACGGCUCAACCGUGGAGGGUCAUUGGAAACUGGGGAACUUGAGUGC